AUUGUCCCUAUAGGCAUUGCAGGUGUGGCUGUUGUGUUACAUGUGCAUCUGUGGGUGGCAGAGAAGAGUGGCUAUGUCUUCAUUCAGUGUUCUGACCUAUGAACACCUGAAUAACUAGUAACCUAACAUU